CUGAGACCGCCUUCCCUCGUAUUCAGAAAAGUGCAAACAACACUCUUUCUUUCCGCGCUGACGACUUCACCUUAGCAUGAGAUUCGAGAUGAUCUCCGACUUCUUAUCCUAAUUGAAAUCCAUCUUAUGCAACUGAUCUAGUUCCUUCUUAUGAUCUUGGGCCUGGGUUGGGUUUCCGAGUUAGAGUAUUGAAAGAGCAGUAGCGCUAGGUUGAAACCAAGCAAGGGAAGGCUCAUAGGCAAUAGAGUUAAGACCAAGAUCAGUAGCUAAAGAAUACCAGUCAGAAGCUUGAGACCUAGAGAUAGUAGGGGAAGGCUAUGAUAAAGUAAGGGCAGCCUUGUCGACAGAGUAGUAGGAAUAGGAGUUAGGGCUGUAUUGGAAUACUACUUAAACCAACAAACUAGUCUUUUAGGCGGGAGUAUAAGUUGGAAGCUAACCUAGGAGCGGAAGGAACAAGUCGAUGUCUUCUCCAAUAGGAGAGCAUAUAGUAAGAGCUAGAGUUUGGAGUAGUAGACCCAAAUACAAGUGAGUUAGCUUCUGUAUCCCGAGUGGAGGCCCUGUUAUCAGUGGUGGAACGCCUAGUUCUGAGUGCGAGUCUUGUUAUUGGUAGUUUUGAAUUCCAGUAUAGCAGCUCUUAUUCUUAGAAACAUUGAAGUCAGCCUGCAUUCCAUGCUCAAUCCUUGUUGUUUUAGUGGUUUUAUUCUCUAUUACGCUUUUGAGUAUUAUUAGUCCCAAUUGCUAGUUAAGUUUCUAGCUAUAGUAUUGUUGACAGUGACUCAAUUGCUUCUGUGGAUCUUAUCAUUCUUUUAGUGUAGUUGACCUAUCCCUGUACAUAUAUUAUCAUUAUGACUCUUAAGCUACAGCGUUGUUAUCUAUGUUUUUAUUCCUUAGGGCAGAAGUCCGUCUGAUACGUAAGCCAAAGAAAGAGUCAGAGAAAGUCAAGUAAGAACGAUAGCUGGGAAAGUAAGGCUUCAAGACUGGAGCGGUAGACCUAGCUAAGGGAUAAGGUUCUAGAAAGUCACGAGUAAAGCCCGAUAAGCACCAGUUAGAGUCUGAUAGAGUGUGGGGAGGUUGUCUGUUUUGAGUUGAGUUCCUCCAGUUUCAUUCCGCAUAUCGAGUUGUGGAGCCUUCCAUUACUGAGUGGAAUUCCUAGUUAGCGGGUCAAUCUUGUAAGUAGUGAAUCCUAAAAAGCACUAGCUCAACUCUGAUUAGUGGAGGAGUAAGACCUAACAAAAAGGGAGUGAGCCUCAUAGGCUGUAAAGCAAUGUUAAUAGGCAGGCAGGAGAUAGCGGCGAAAAGACAGGAGCUAAAGAGUGAAGGUAAGGAGAAAGGCUUGUUGGUUGUGUUUUCAUUCUGAUAUUGUGGGUAUAGCUCCCUAGAAAGGUCUCCUUGUUCACUUAGCCAGGUAUCCUUACUUAUCCUAUUGAUCAGUCCGCCUUUACUUACUUGAAAACUGGAUUUCCACCUCUGAUUAUACUACUAUGCCCCAACUGCUGUAGUUCUAGGUUUGGUCUGCCCUGCCUUACUUUACUUCCUUAGCUGCUUGCUUACUUUGGUUUUGACUUGUUUAUUCUCUUAUUCCAUUGAGUAUUCCGGUUAUUUAUAUAAUAUUCCUGAGUACUUUAUUAGCGAAAUAAGGUUCAAAAGGUAUCUGGAUUAUUCUACUUAACACCUCCAUCGUGAAGUGAAAUAGUAAUAUCGUCUUUAGACUGGAUUUUCACCCACGUUUAGCUAAGCAAACCACUCACUAAUAGAGUAGAAAUCUAAUAUGAGAAAAAAGUCGUUCGAGCCCAAUUCUUAGUGCCUCUAUGUAUGGUUCCAUCCCCUGCAUGAUAAGACAAAGACAUUCUAUAAAUCCACAUAGACAAAGCCAUUCUUUCUGUUGGGCUUUCGUUCUUUUGGUUCUGCGCUUGAUUCCUUCGUUCCAGUCCGCGAUGCCCCUCCAUCACCAGAAGUCUUCCUUUGUCGCGUGCGUAGUACGUGAAGGCAUAUCCAUUACUGUACUCGAUACAGGCAGCCACCUACCUAUAAACCGGUUGGAUUCUUUAAAUAACAAGUCAGGAUCUAAUAAGUAGUUAGGUGUAAUAGAGCAAGGAUCUGGAUCGGUUAGUCCACCAAGUAUGAGAAGCACUUGCUUAAUUCUUCUAUUUAGGAGUUUCAGAGUGAGAUUACUCUUAGGGCGAAGUAGUGUCCUGUUACUCUCAUUUAUAUGUUGCUCUUUCUCCUGCCUCCAUCUUAUGCUUAUUAUCCUUAUUAAGAUCUGUCUUCCCUUGCUUCCUUACCUAUUACUUACUGUUGGCUCUAAAGAAUGGAAUCUCAACAUAAAAGAAUGAAUUGGAGUUUGCCGUUGUUGCUGAUUUUAUUGCUUGUUCGGAAAGCGAUUGGCCUCUUAUAUUCCAGUAAGAAAGAAACCAUAAAGUGAGAAUGGAAUAAUGGGGAAGUUAAGACAAACACUCUAAGGUCCGAUCUAGCACAUAUUGUAAUAGAAAAGAGGUAGCACUUCGUUAUCUUUCUAGCCUACCUACAACCUAGCCUCUUUCUCUUGUGCCUCUUUCUCUCCUUGAAGUUCAGAUCCGGCUUCAGAUCUUUCCACUGGUUAUUGACUUUGGGUAAAAGAAAAGAUCAGAUAGCGUAAGACAACACAAGAACUAUCAACUAGAUUCAGUAGACUGUGCCGAGGAAGGCCCCUUUCAGGUAGUUUAAGCCAUGGUUAACUCAUUUUAUGUCAUAUCAAUCAAUCACUUCCACUUUGAAACUUGCCUUCUAAUGCAUUAUACACAAAUAACAUUCAUUUUCUUUGACCAGGAUGCACUAUCUUAAACAAGCAAGCACCCAUCGAACCUACUACACUACUCGGUUCCUACAACACAUAAACAUAAAGAAAGCCAAUUGAACCACUCAAUCCUAUGUAUAAUUACAUAUAAUGUCUAUACUAAACUCCCUUCCAUUUAGCCUUGUUAACAAAUACUGAUCCUUAUCCUUCGAGCUCUCAACUCGAAAAAGGCAGUAAAAGACAGGAAUCAAAGAAUCAAUCCUUAAAUCCAGAGUGAAAACACCAAGUAUCAGACCGAAGCUACGGCCAUCAGAAGGGAAUCAAAGAGAAUCACUCCUGCAAUAGAGAAGAAAAGGGAAAAUACAUAAUAGAGGGCAGGCGUGGCGGAGGCCAUACGCAAAGCUAGGGGCUAGCUAGUAAGGCGGAGAAGCAUUAGUUAAAGAAUAGAGUGAAGCAGUGUCCGCCUAGAUCCCGCGAACUAAAGAGUGAAAAGUAGACUGUCAACUGGCAGCGGCGCCUAUAUGGUAUGGAUUCUUCAACGAAUACAACUCUAUAUAUAGGAAUUAGACCAAUGCUAAUCAUAAUUACCUCUUUGGGUAGUAAAUCUGACUAUCUAUAUCGUUAUUGCAUGCUUACUUGUUAGCCUCGUCCCUAUUGCCUCACCCAUAAGUUUCCCGCUCCUGUCUCCGAUUCCCCUCCUAUUCUUGCUACCAUCCACCUAUAUGAGUCCCGCUUUUCCUUUUGAUUAGUCAGUUAUUCCUUAUAGGCAUUCUGUAUUAAGGGACUUUUGUACGACGUAAUAUUGAUUAGUGCAAUAAGAAUUGAGCUGUUGACAACAAGACCUAACUCUACUUGUGGAACUAACAACACAAGAAUCCCUAUCGUAUUCAGUACACCUCGCC
rnacentral:lncRNA from 1 species